rnacentral:rRNA from 1 species
UACGUAGGGUGCGAGCGUUAAUCGGAAUUACUGGGCGUAAAGCGUGCGCAGGCGGUUCGUUGUGUCGGCGGUGAAAGCCCCGGGCUCAACCUAGGAAUGGCCGUUGAAACUGGCGAACUGGAGUGUGGCAGAGGGGGGUGGAAUUCCGCGUGUAGCAGUGAAAUGCGUAGAGAUGCGGAGGAACACCGAUGGCGAAGGCAGCCCCCUGGGCUGACACUGACGCUCAGGCACGAAAGCGUGGGUAGCAAACAGG